UUUCCGUAGGUGAACCUGCGGAAGGAUCAUUACCAAUUUCGGGGGACUUCGGUCCCUGUCUGAAACCCUUGUCUUUUGAGUACCAUUUGUUUCCUUGGUAGGCUUUGCCUACCAAUAGGACACCACUUAACCUCUUGUAAUUGCAAUCAGCGUCAGAAAAACAUAAUAGUUACAACUUUCAACAACGGAUCUCUUGGUUCUG
rnacentral:misc_RNA from 1 species